rnacentral:rRNA from 1 species
AACGAACGCUGGCGGCAGGCCUAACACAUGCAAGUCGAACGCACCGCAAGGUGAGUGGCGCACGGGUGAGUAACACGUGGGAAUCUACCUCGAAGUGGGGGAUAACGUCCAGAAAUGGACGCUAAUACCGCAUAAUCCACAUUGGGAAAGCGCGCUGCGCUUUGAGAUGAGCCCAUGGCUGAUUAGCUAGUUGGUGGGGUAACGGCCCACCAAGGCGACGAUCAGUAGCUGGUCUGAGAGGAUGAUCAGCCACACUGGAACUGAGACACGGUCCAGACUCCUACGGGAGGCAGCAGUGGGGAAUCUUGCGCAAUGGGGGCAACCCUGACGCAGCCAUACCGCGUGUGUGAUGAAGGUCUUCGGAUUGUAAAGCACUUUCAGUAGGGACGACGAUGACGGUACCUACAGAAGAAGUCACGGCUAACUUCGUGCCAGCAGCCGCAGUAACAC